UACGUUCAAAUCAUGCUGAAAACACCGGUUCUCGUCCGAUCACCGAAGUUAAUCAACAUCGAGUCCAGUCAGUACUUAAGUGGGGGGAUCGUUUGGGAACACCGGAUACUGUAA